rnacentral:rRNA from 1 species
AGCUCCAAUAGCGUAUACUAACGUUGUUGCAGUUAAAAGCUCGUAGUUGGAUUUUUAGUUGCGCGGACCGGCCGUGGCCUUUAGUGUCGUGAGCCUGGUUCGUCGUGACUAUUUUGGCCCAGCGUGUCGUUGGCAUUAGUUUGUCGAUGGCUCCGCCAGGUCGAGUUUACUUUGAGAAAAUUAGAGUGUUCAAAACAGUCUUUCGAUUGUAUAUCAUAGCAUGGAAUAAUAACUGAUGACCUCGGUCACCUUUUGUUGGGUUCAGUUGGCUGAGAUAAUGAUUGAUAGGGUUAGUCGGAGGUCUUAGUAUUCUGUCGUUAGAGGUGAAAUUCAUGGAUCGGCAGAAGACUGACAACUGCGAAAGCAUUGAUCUAGGAUUUGCUCU